UACGUAGGGGGCUAGCGUUGUCCGGAAUCAUUGGGCGUAAAGCGCGUGUAGGCGGCCCGAUAAGUCCGCUGUGAAAGUCCAGGGCUCAACCCUGGGAUGCCGGUGGAUACUGUCGGGCUCGAGUCCGGAAGAGGCGAGUGGAAUUCCUGGUGUAGCGGUGAAAUGCGCAGAUAUCAGGAGGAACACCAAUGGCGAAGGCAGCUCGCUGGGACGUGACUGACGCUGAGACGCGAAAGCGUGGGGAGCAAACAAG
rnacentral:rRNA from 1 species